GACGAACGCUGGCGGCGUGCUUAACACAUGCAAGUCGAACGGAAAGGCCCUGCUUUUGUGGGGUGCUCGAGUGGCGAACGGGUGAGUAACACGUGAGUAACCUGCCCUUGACUUUGGGAUAACUUCAGGAAACUGGGGCUAAUACCGGAUAGGAGCUCCUGCUGCAUGGUGGGGGUUGGAAAGUUUCGGCGGUUGGGGAUGGACUCGCGGCUUAUCAGCUUGUUGGUGGGGUAGUGGCGUACCAAGGCUUUGACGGGUAGCCGGCCUGAGAGGGUGACCGGCAACAUUGGGACUGAGAUACGGCCCAGACGCCUACGGGAGGCAGCAGUGGGGAAUAUUGCACAAUGGGCGGAAGCCUGAUGCAGCAACGCCGCGUGCGGGAUGACGGCCUUCGGGUUGUAAACCGCUUUCGCCUGUGACGAAGCGUGAGUGACGGUAAUGGGUAAAGAAGCACCGGCUAACUACGUG
rnacentral:rRNA from 1 species